rnacentral:rRNA from 1 species
GACGAACCACACGAACGUUAUUCGGAAUUACUGGGCUUAAAGGGUGCGUAGGCGGCGUGGUAAGUUGGGUGUGAAAUCCCUCGGCUCAACCGAGGAACUGCGCCCAAAACUACCAUGCUUGAGGAAGAUAGAGGUAAGCGGAACUUACGGUGGAGCGGUGAAAUGCGUUGAUAUCGUAAGGAACACCGGUGGCGAAGGCGGUUCUCUGGGCCUUACCUGACGCUGAGGAGCGAAAGCGUGGGGAGCGAACAGG